rnacentral:tRNA from 1 species
UGGCUUAGUUGGAAAAGCACUUGUCUAGCGUAUAAGGGUCGUGAGUUCAAAUCUCAC